GUUGUCUCUGUCUUCUAUAGCUUGGAAUUGCGAUUGGGUUCUUGGUCCCUCCUGUUUUGGUACCCAACAUCGAAGACCGGGACAAGCUUGCCUACCACAUCAGCAUCAUGUUCUAUAUAAUAGGAGGUGUGGCCACUCUCCUCCUCAUCCUUGUCAUCAUUGUGUUCAAGGAGAAACCUAAAUAUCCCCCCAGCAGGGCCCAAUCCCUGAGCUAUGCCUUGACCUCUCCUGAUGCCUCGUAUUUAGGUUCCAUCGCCCGGCUCUUCAAAAAUCUCAACUUUGUGCUGCUUGUCAUCACCUAUGGGGGAAGAAGUGAAUGCUGGAAGAAUUGGCCUGACGAUCGUCAUUGCAGGAAUGCUUGGGGCUGUGAUCUCAGGAAUCUGGCUGGAUAGGUCCAAAACCUACAAGAAUCUGUGCCAUCCAAAUUGCUUGAUCCAGUGAAUCUGCUAGGAAAGGUCUCUGAGGCCCCCGUCUGCUGACUGCAUGACAAACCCUAAAGGAAAUGCCAAUCGUGAUG
rnacentral:sRNA from 1 species